GACGAACGCUGGCGGCGUGCUUAACACAUGCAAGUCGAACGGACAGGCCCUGCUUUUGUGGGGUGCUCGAGUGGCGCACGCGUGAGUAACACGUGAGUAACCUGCCCUUGUCUUUGGGAUAACUUCAGGAAACUGGGGCUAAUACCGGAUAGGAUCUCCUGCUGCAUGGUGGGGGUUGGAAAGUUUCGGCGGUUGGGGAUAUACUCGCUGCUUAUCAGCUUCUUUGUGAGGUAGUGGUAUACCAAGGCUUUGACGGAUAGCCGACCUGAGAGGUGAGACGGCGACAAGAGGACUGAGAUACGGAGCAGAAUGCAACGGGAGGCAGUAGGGGAGAGUAUGACAGAGUGAGCGGGAGCGAGAGGCGAAGGCGCCGGGUGCGGGAAGACGGGCUUCGAGGGAUGAACAGAUGUGGACGGAAAUGAAGAGUGAGUGACGGUAAUGGGUAAAAAAGCACCGGCUAACUACGUG
rnacentral:rRNA from 1 species